AAGGAUGAGGACAAGUUAGACAGGUUUGUAAGCUAAAAGAGAACAGCCACGACAGAGGAUACAGUGAAGAUUCAAAAAACGGUGGUGAAUAUUGAAAAGGCGUUGGAGGACACAUAAUAGAAUGCAAAGUCCACAAGGAGAGGGGCUUUGUGUCUUGUUUCACACUGUGUCCCCAGGCUUAGAAUAUUCUGGCAUCAGAAGGCACUCAGUAAACAUAGAGAGGAAGAAAGGAAGAAGAUGAAAUCAGGAGUACAGAUUAAAGUGUUAUCUUUGGAAGACAGGCAAGACAUCCUUUGGGACAGAAGGGAAGGAGAGAAAGCUGGGGAACAUGCAGAUAAUACAAGAGGUGCGGUUUGUGACUGAUGGCUGCUAUUUUCUCUGUGAGACUGAAUCCAGACAACUUUGGACAUUCCUUCAUUUGAAGAAUUUUUACUGAACAAUUACAGACCAUUGAUUGAUACAGUGAAGAUCAGAAUGGCAUAGUUUUCCUGUCUUCAUGGAGAUGAAUGAAUGAACUGUAUUUUUUAUUAGCCUAAGCAUGAAUUCUUCCCAAAUUUCCUCCAUGAACCAUAGGAUCCUACCUCUUAACCAUUUUAUGAAAAUUCUAUGGUGAAUUGAGGUCCUCAAGUUGUCUGACAAUAUCUGAUUUUGCCACGGUCAUGUGGGAAAAGUAGGCAUGUGAGCAAGUCAUAGUUUUACUUGUUUGGAAGAUUCUUCUAAUUAUGUCAAGAUGAAAGGUUUUAUACUGUGUAGAAGGCAGUGUGAGAGAAGUGGACAGUAGAACUCCUAUUUGGUGGGCCAGUGGCUAUAUUUUAAAAUAUGAAGGAUACAUAUUUGACUGUUUAAGUACAAUGAUCUGCCAUGGAUCUAUACUUUUGGGCUGCUGUCUUUUAGGCUAAAGCAAUUAAAGGCAAUGUAAUGAACAUGGUUAUCUGUGGAUGCCCCUUUGAUUGCCAUUGUAUUAUGCUUUACACUGUGAUGGCUCUCUCUUUGAGGAGAGACGCUGUUCCUCCAGGGAGAUAAAAUAUAAAAUAUGAAUCUUACCCUUAAGCAUACACUUCUCCCCACUCUCAAUAUACAGUGGCUCUGGAAUUCAUGCUUCACUUGGGAGUUGAAAGUUUGCGUUUAUAAUUUUAUAUUCUUAUUACAGGCCAGGCUAUUGAGAUUAGAAAGUCUUUAUUUUUCAGUUGGAGUGUGAUGAGCCAUAUUCCCUAUUGUAAACAGCCAUAUUAACCAAGAUAAUUUAAUUUGGAAUGAUUGCUUUUUGCCUUUGAGCUGUAGAUCAAAAGGUUCCAUUAUAUGUACAAAUAAAGUAAAAAAAAAUUUUUUCUGUGAAUGUUACAAAAUUUUUUUAUUGUGGUAAAAAACACGUAAGAUCUUUCCUCUUAAAUUUUGGGUGUAUGGUACAGCAUUGUUAACUAUAAGCAUAAUGUUGUAGAGCAGAUCUGUGAAAAUUUUGUCUCUUGUAUGAUUAAAACUUUAUGCUCACGGAACAGCAA
rnacentral:lncRNA from 1 species